rnacentral:tRNA from 1 species
CGGGAUAUGGCGCAGCUUGUAGCGCGCCUCGUUCGGGACGAGGAGGUCGCAGGUUCAAAUCCUGUUAUCCCGACCA